rnacentral:rRNA from 1 species
GGCUACAGUCAUGCUACCCUGAACAAGCCCAAUCCCGUCUGAUUUCGGAAGCUAAGCAGGGUUGGGCCUGGUUAGUACUUGGAUGGGAGACCACCUAGGAAGACCAGGUGCUGUAGGUG